UAGAGAGCUUCUGGAAUAGAGGACCUUUCUGCCUGUGGAGCUCCAGCCUGGCCACUGGAGGGGGUGGAGCAUCCCAGGGCUGCUGCCGCGAGGUGGAACCAUGGAUGCUCCUGCUAGGCUUGAGCUAGGGAGACCCUUCCCAGACCUCCUGAGUCACCAUGGCAGCUGAUUGAAGAAGCCUCCUGGGGCCUUGAUGUGCUUCUGCUUCAAGCAAGAUGGUCAGUGACAUGUUUAGUUAAGCACCAGGCUCCUGAUCCUGCCUCACAGAGAGGCAGUGGAAGCUGCCUGCUUCUCUAGGCCAUACCAGCUGGCUUCUGAGAAAGGAGAAGGCUGCCAUUUUUUUCAUACAUCAGUCAAGGUCACACUGGAAGCUAAGACAGACCAUACUUUUGCCUCAGAUAUCUUCCUAUCCAAAGUCGUUGCUAGGCUGAGAAGACUAUCCAUGGCUGUGCUCACCUGUCUUUCUCAUCCUCUGGUCUUCUAUCUGUCCUCCCUCUGCUUUAGCCAUGUGGCCUUCCUGCUACUUAAACACACUGAGCACCAGUGUCUCUGGGGGUCUUCAGCCAUGCUGGUUCUUCCACACACAGAACUUCCUGAAGAAGAAAAAAAAAGACGGUUAAAGGAAUAUGAUAAGAACCUGGCAAGAACCCAGUUUAGACUCAGCAGCUUUGAUCCUAGAAAGAGAAAAAUAAAUAUUACACCUGAGGUUGGAGUGGAGAUGAAACUCAACUAGAAGAUCAGUUGGAGUAAGGAAGAACCAGUCCCAAUGAGUAGCAGAGAAACUGUUUUUGAAGAAGACUUGAACUUGUUAUGUACCAGUAGCAGAAGAGAAAAGCCUAGAAACCUGCAGAAAAACAAGAUCCGAUGUUAAAUGCGAGGAUUUGUAAAUACAGGAAUCAUGGAGGAAUUAGUCCCAGAAGGAGGCAGUGGAUCCCCAGGAACAGGCGUUAUGGACAGCUGUGAGCCACAUGACAAGAAUGCAAGAAUGCUGGAGAUGGAACCCAAGAUCUCUGCAAGAGCAAGCUCUUUAAAUCAGAGCCAUUUCUUCAGUCCAAGAACUUGAGAUUUAUUAACACAUCUACAUCAUACUAUACUUCACAAAUGUGUACAUUUAAGAUCAUGUAAACUGCAAUGUUUAAAAGCAAACGUAAUAGGUAAAGGGGAGGAGAAGGGGGCACUUGGGAGAUACAAAACCAACUUGUUUGGAAAAUUGAGAUUUCAAGAGACAGACAUGAGAUAGGAAGUGCAUGGUAGUGUUUAUCUACACAGGUGCAAGUGGUUGCUUCAUUGACUUUGGGGCCAUAAACCUCCCUGGAAAGGGGAUCUGGAAUAAGUUUGCUUGUGCUUUACCUGCUGUAUUAGCUCAGGAUAGAAGAAGAAUUUAUGGCAGAUAAAUAACCAAUUUGAGUUUGGAGUUGUCUCCACA